AUUGAACGCUGGCGGCAGGCCUAACACAUGCAAGUCGAGCGAGCGGCGGACGGGUGAGUAAUGUCUGGGACACUGCCUGAUGGAGGGGGAUAACUACUGGAAACGGUAGCUCAUACCGCAUACCAUCAGAUGUGCCCAGAUGGGAUUAGCUAGUAGGUUGGGUAACGGCUAACCUAGGCGACGCUCCCUAGCUGGUCUGAGAGGAUGACAAGCCACACGGGAACGAUGACACGGUCAUGACACCUACGGGCGGCAGCACGAGGGAACAUUGCACAAUGGUCGCAAGCCUGAUGCUGACACGCCGGGUGAGUGAAGAAGGGCAUCGGGUUGUAAAGCACGUUCAGCGUGGAGGCGUUACCCGUAGAAGAAGCACCGGCGAAAUCCGUGCCAGCAGCCGGGGUAAUUC
rnacentral:rRNA from 1 species